rnacentral:rRNA from 1 species
UACGAAGGGGGCUAGCGUUGUUCGGAAUUACUGGGCGUAAAGCGCGUGUAGGCGGCUGUCCAAGUUGGAUGUGAAAGCCUUGAGCUUAACUCAAGAAAUGCAUUCAGGACUGGAUGACUAGAGGACCGGAGAGGAUAGUGGAAUUCCCAGUGUAGUGGUGAAAUACGUAGAGAUUGGGAAGAACACCAGUGGCGAAGGCGGCUAUCUGGACGGUUUCUGACGCUAAGACGCGAAAGCGUGGGGAGCAAACAGG